rnacentral:rRNA from 1 species
AUUCAAUACCCAUAUUAACCCCUUCAACUAUACUGAGAACUUCUAUAACCCUAUAGAACCUUUUAUGCUAAAACUAGUAACAAGAGAAAACCCUCUCUCAUAAUGCAAACAUAAGCCAGCAAGAACCCAUCACUGGCAAUUAACAACCCUAAACUAAAGUAGCAACCUCACUAGAAACCCCUACUCCCACUGACUGUUAACCUAACACCAGAGCAUUUCAAGAAAGAUUAAAAGAAAAAGAAGGAACUCGGCAAAUCCAAAGUCCCGCCUGUUUACCAAAAACAUCGCCUCUUGCUCACCAUAAGAGGUCCAACCUGCCCAGUGACCCUGUUCAACGGCCGCGGUAUCCUAACCGUGCGAAGGUAGCGUAAUCACUUGUUUUUUAAAUAAAGACCUGUAUGAAGGGUAUAACGAGGACUAAACUGUCUCCUUUUUCCAAUCAGUGAACCUAAUCUCCCCGUGAAAAAGCGGGAAUUCCUAUAUAAGACGAGAAGACCCUGUGGAGCUUAAAACAUCAUAACACCUGCCCCACCUUUAACCAUCCCAGUAUAUCCAACCGGCACCCUGAUUAUAUGUUUUUGGUUGGGGUGACCGCGGAGAAAACCCCAUCCUCCGCGAUGAAAGGGGCCCCCCCCCCUUAAACAAUAAGUUACAACUUUAUGUAUCAAUAAAUUGACAUCCAUUGACCCAAUAAAUUGAUUAACGAACCAAGUUACCCCAGGGAUAACAGCGCAAUCCACUUCAAAAGUCCCUAUCGACAAGUGGGCUUACAACCUCGAUGUUGGAUCGGGAUAUCCUAGUGGUGCAGCCGCUACUAAAGGUUCGUUUGUUC